ACAACGAGGCGGAGAAAAAAAAAAAAUGUUGCCAAAGAGGUCACCCACUCAGUAUUAUCUUGACAGUUGACAUUUUACUGCCAAGUGCCAAGACACUGGUUUUCAGUGGGUGCCUUGUACGCAGGGGCAAAAAAAAUAUAAUAAAAUAAAUUCAAAUUAAUUAAAAUUCACAUUAAAAUAAAAAAUAACAAUUACAAUAAAAAAAAAAAAAAAAAGAACAAAACAAUUACUAAAAUUUUAAAUAAACAUGUCCAAAAAUAUAUAAAAAUUAAAAUUCACAAUAAAAUAAAAAUUACAAUAAGAAUAAAAUUAACAAAAAACAAUACAAUUAAUUUCAAAUAAACAUGUCAAAAUAAAUUAAAAUUCACAUUAAAAAAUAAAAUACCAAAUUAACGACACAGACAGGACAAUAAUAAUUUUAAUUAGACAAAUGUAAUAAAUAAUAAUAUUCAUGAAAUAAAUCAAAACAAAACAAAACGCCGCUUGGCUGCGGUCGAAGAACGCGGCCAAAGAGUCAGGUGACGGGCCGUGAAUGAAGAAAAUAAUAAAAAAGUGACAAGAAAAAGUCACCUGACGUUCACGUUUGCCACGUAAAUCAGCCACGUAGCGACAGAACAUUUUCACUUUAACAAUGUACUAAUUAAAUAUGUGUUUUUUAAUGUCUACUGUGUUAAAAAAUAAAUGGAUUGACAGACGGAUGGAUGAACUCCAUCACCCAGAAGCCGUGAACUAAUGGGCACUCAUCAGGGAAGAAAACAAAAAAUCUCGAUGUCAUGGCAGUUCCUCGCAGCCACUGCAAUCGUCCGAGCAUCCCAGAGCAGGCAGGCAGAGCAUCCAAAAGGGCAACCACGAUGAGCUGCGUUCCCAAUGCCGGAACGGCACCUCAAAACCCGCAUAUACGACGUGCAUACUCUGAUGAGCACGCAGCGGCGGGGGCAGGUCGUUCCAACAUCGAGACGCCGCAAAUCUAAACGAGCCCCGAAAUGCCGCCGUGCGAUGCCUCGGGGUUAGGAAGACGUGAGUAAUCACUCUUCUCUCAUGCUCAUUUCGGUUUGGGGCCCGGACUAGCUUGUCAAAGAGAUACCUCGGCCGUCCUGUGUUAACAACGCCAAACAACAAUGUAGCUAAGUGCAACCUUCUACGGGCCUCCAUCUUCAACAGAUUGGCAGUAAUUAGAAAUGGUGUUACAUGAGAUCGAGGUGGGAUGUGGAAGCAGAAACGGGCACAUGCAUUCUGUACUCGUUGCAACAAUUUUGCUGAACUUGCCAGUAGACAUGGCCCAUAUACAGUGUCGCAAUAGUUCAGCUUGGACAAGACAAGCGCCUCACAAAGGUUUAUCCUCAGUUUUUCACACAAAUAUGGUCUUAUUCUGUACAGGAGCUUCAACCUAUAGAAACAAUUCCUUGCACACUCAGUUAUAUGUUUUUCAAAUUUGAGAUGACUGUCCAGCACCAUACCCAAGUUCCUUGCAUCCUCAACCCUCUCUAUUGACUCCCCAUUUAAGGUGACACUUAAACCGUUGAUCUUAGCUAUGUUUUUAGGUGUCCCUAUUAGCAUGAGCUUAGACUUUUUUGGAUUUAAGGUAAGGCAGUUGUCAGAGCACCAGGUGGACACGCUAAGUAAGUCCCUGUUUAUCAAGGCCAUAGCUCCGCCCUGAUCACAAGGCACAAAUGAAAGGUACAGCUGUAAGUCAUCCGCAUACAAGUGAUAGCGACAGUGUGCAAUAUGUCCUAUGAUAUCAGCACUGUACAAAAUGUAGAGGAUCGGCCCCAAGAUCGAGCCUUGUGGGACCCCACGGUUCACAGGUAGAGAUUGUGAACGAAGUUUUUUACCGUUGCUCAGCCUCAGCUCCACAUACUGACUCCGUCCAUGCAGAUAACUGUGGAACCAUUUGAUAGCGCUUUGUUCAAGACCAUAGAAUCUGAGUUUCGACAGCAGCAGCGACGUGUUAAUUGAGUCGAAUGCUCGUGAGAAGUCAAGAAGAAGCAACGCGGAUACCAUACCACGGUCCUGAGCUGCAAGAAGGUUGUCCACAACAUCCGCCAGAGCAGCCGCAGUGCUAUGCCCCCCACGAAAACCCGACUGCAACUCUGGAAGUAUAUUAUGCCUCUCCAAGUAAGUGGUUAACUGCUUGCAUACAAUUUUUUCCAAUACCUUGGAGAGGCAUGGAAGGAUACUGACAGGACGAAGGUCUUGGAGUGAAGCCGGCCGGUUGGUCUUGGGCAAAGGUGUCACCGCUGCUACCUUCCAGCCAUCAGGAAACACUCCUUGCUGCAGUGAGCAAUUAAUAAUAGUGGUCAAGGUCUCGAGCGACUGUGGCAGAGUGAGCAGUAAGACAUCCAGUGCCAGGCCAUCACAUCCCUGCGCAUUAGAUUUCAAUCCUCUAAUAACCUCCAGUACCUCUUUGCUAGUUACCGCAUGAAGUGCAAAAGUAGCUGAAGCGUCGUACCUGUUAUGCUCAUAAAAAGAUAAGGCUGAAAUUGACACUUUGUUUGAGCCUGGUAUGUUCAGAAAAUGCUGGUUUAUAGCAUUAGGGUCAUUAAACUCGGGUGGAAGCUCACUAGUCUUACCAUUGUUAGGGAGUACAGUAUUCUUAAGAUUCCUCCACAAUCUCUUAGAAUUUCCUAUAUUGCUAUUUAUAUGCUUUUCAAAAUAACAUUUUUUCUCCUGUUCCAAAGCCUCCAGUACCAUCCCUCUCAUUUGUCUGUAACAGUCCUUUAGAGCAGAUGUUUUGAGUUUUUUGUAUUUGUUGUGGUAGUUGUCCCUAAUACGCAUCAUGGCUCUGACAGUGUCCGUUACCCACGGAUGGGGAGGGUUUUUAAACUUUUUUGUCACUAUUGGGGUAUGUAAAUCCAUCAACCCUAUAAUACAUGUUGUAAAAGCUCUUACGAGUUCGUUAACUUCGUUGAUUUCAUUAAAAUUUCCCCACCGUAUGGCACAUAGAUCUGCAUUCAGCUGGUCAAUGAGAAUGUUCUUGAGCGGUCUAUAUGUCACCCAUCUAGGACUAGGUUUAUCCACUUUAAUUUUGACCUCUGCUAGUAUCAUGGCAUGCCCUCCUCGAUCUGGCGAGUGCCUCACAGUCAGCUUGGGAACCCUAACAUCAGUGCACAACACAUCUAUUAAAGUGGCACUAUGGUCUGUAAAGUGAGUGGGGUCCUCAACCAUUUGAGUUAAAUUUAAACUCUCGAUGAAUUGCAUGAAGGCCCCAUAGCCGCGACUGCUUUUAUCAAGGAGAUUGAUAUUAAAGUCUCCCACCACUAUUAUGCCGUCAGAUUGUGAGAAAGAGGUGACUGAGUCUGUGAUAGCCUCUAGGAACAUAUUUAUGUCUUGCCAGGGCGGUCUGUAUGCAGUUCCAACGAUUAUAUUUUGACCGUGUGAGUGAACUUUCAGCCACAUCUGCUCGACAGGUGGGAUAGAUGUAGGAAAUUCCAAUUGUUUGGCAUUUAAACCCUUACGUAUGUAAAAGCCUACCCCCCCUCCCCGACCCCCCCGAACUUGAAUAUGUCUCGGAAUAUGUCUCAAACGAUAACCUGAAAGUUUAGGCGCCCUAUCCUCCUCUCCCAAUCGCAACCAGGUUUCAUUUAUGGCCAUAAUGUCAGGAGCGAAUUCCACCAUCGCAGCGGUAAAUUCGUCAUGCCCUGUACAGAGAGACCCUGCAUUAUAUAGACCUAACAAUAGAUUUUUUAGCCUAAGGCCUGAAAAUCGGGACAUGUAAAUAAAGAACAAUAGCGGGAUGUCAAAAUGUGAUUCAUAAUUGAAAAUAGUAUCAUGUAAAUAUUGUAAUAAAUAAUAUAGAUAAUUAGAUUAGAACAUAAAUUAACGAUUAUAUAACUAGAGAUAUUAUUAUGAAUUAAAUAAGUUAUAGAAAUGAAAUGAGUUUGAAAUAAGUAGUACAAUAGAAUACAAUUGUCAAAUAGUUCAAAUAUUCCAUGUAACAUAGUGAUUUUAGGUAGCAAACGGUAUAUUAUUUCAUACUUUUGUACAUAGUUAUAACCAUCAGUGUAAUAAAUGUAUUUCAAUGGAAAUAUAUAAUAUAAUGAAUUGCAA